AAUUAGACCAAGUAUGGAAAACAAAUUACUUGUUUGUAAUCCUGAACUUAUACGGGAAAUAUUUGCUUAAAACAUAGACCUAUGUGUAUACAUUGUAUGAUCCAGAACAUGUAAAACAUGUAGCUAAACAUUAAGAGGUAAAGGCUUAAUCUUGGUAGAAUGAGUAUUGCAUAGUGCAUAAUGGUGCCAAAGAUGAA